GGAUUAGGCAUGCAAGUCGAACGAGGGAGUGUUCCGAAAGGGGCACAAACCGAGUGGCGUAAGGGUGAGUAAUGCAUUGAUAACCUGCCUUUGAGAUGGGGAUAACAACGUUCCGAGUAAUCGGGAUUACCGAAAGGGUUGCUAAUACCCAAUAAUAUUCCUGGUGCUGAGGUGUUGGGAAUCAAAGGUUUGGAGCCGAGAGGUUCCUUUCGCUCAGAGAGGGGUCAAUGUCCUAUCAGCUAGUUGGUAGGGUAAAGGCCUACCAAGGCGAAGACGGGUAGCCGGCCUGAGAGGGUGGUCGGCCACAUUGGGACUGAGACACUGCCCAGACUCCUACGGGAGGCUGCAGUCGAGAAUCUUUCGCAAUGCCCGCAAGGGUGACGAAGCGACGCCGCGUGUGGGAAGAAGGCCUUCGGGUUGUAAACCACUGUCGGGAGUUAAGAAAGGCGGGAGAGUGAAUAGCUUUCCUGUUUUGACGAAAGCUCCGGAGGAAGCCACGGCUAACUCUGUGCCAGCAGCCGCGGUAAUACAGAGGUGGCAAGCGUUGUUCGGAAUUAUUGGGCGUAAAGGGCACGUAGGCGGCCCUGCAAGUCAGUUGUGAAAUCCUUCCGCUUAACGGAAGAACGGCAGGUGAUACUACAGGGCUAGAGUGCGGUAGGGGAGAGCGGAACUUCUGGUGGAGCGGUGAAAUGCGUAGAUAUCAGAAGGAACACCGGCGGCGAAAGCGGCUCUCUGGUCCGUAACUGACGCUGAGGUGCGAAAGCUAGGGGAGCAAACGGGAUUAGAUACCCCGGUAGUCCUAGCCGUAAACGAUGGGCACUAAGUAGAGGGGUUUU
rnacentral:rRNA from 1 species